GGGCGGGAAGCGGGGCGGUGUGCCCACACAGACGGGCCCCUCAGCGGCCCUGGCAGCGUGCGUUGUCCGGCUAGCUCUUCGAGGCCCUGGAAGGGACACCUGGGCCCGGUGUCGUGCGGUGCCUCCACGCGGUGCCACAGAGACGCACCGGCAGUCGGUGGGCGCCUGUGUGGCAGCUGUCCAAGGACCAGCAAUUCGUCAUGAUUCGUACAAAUGCGUUGCAAGCAGAGCGCGCCCAGAGGCAGGUAGGAAAGGCCUGUACAUUUGGCAGAGAACACAAUUAGCAAUAUGAGCUUGUGUCCGCUCUUCCACGUCAGCAUGCCCACGUGGUGCUGUGGUAUGUGCUGUGCUGUUCCUCAUGUGGGUGCUUUGCUCAGGGCAGAGAUGAGUAAGAAGCUGUACCCCUUGGCAGUGACAUGGGUUUUCACAGCCUGACCUUGUUACUUAAACCAGGAGAUAGCAGCGAUGCCAACGUGAUGUCAUAUAGUGUGUUUGCACAUGCCUGUCAAAAACACAGUUACACGCUGCUGUUACCCCACUCUGUAAAUCUGUGCAUGCAUGCAAAUACACAUACACACACACAUAUAUAUAAACAGAAAUUAGUUGAGAGUUUAAAAGAAAGCCCUUCUUCUCAAGGAUAAUUUUAGCAUAGCAGAGCUAGAUAAUUGGUAUGGGGGGAGUGUGGUUUAGAAGAGUCUGACUCAGCUUCAUGUUGUAAAUCUAGUCUUACCACUGCCUUUCUGUGUGAUUCUGAAUGUUCUCAGCUUCUCUUAACCAUAGGCCUUUUGCUUAAAAUGAAAAUUAAUAACUCUUCAGUCCCACACUGAGGGUGGAGAGGGGGAGCUCACACCAAAUAAUGCUUCUAGAGGUAGUAAGGGUGAGUAUCUCUGGGGAAGGGAUACUCACUAAGGGUGAGUAUCUCUGGGAAUACAGUAUUAUUAUCAUUGUAUUGUCAAUAUGCCGUCAGGAAAUAUGGUUCAGUAUUGCAGUGAUCUUCUAAGGGGAUCUUCUCUGUUGCUGUUUCUAUGUUUUACUGCUCUAGUUAUCAUGGAGUGGGUUAUUUGAAUCUGUCAGUGGUAAUAAGUACUAAAUUAGUUAAAAGCCUCAUCAGGUAGAACAAUGAAGUCCUCACAAAAUGUAGCACAAGGAAAACAUAAUUUAUGUGUGCUGAAGUACAACAUACCUUGAAAAUACCACAUCUGUCUAUGCAGGUAAGUUUGGGUUCUGGAGACGUCGGAGAGGAGUGUCAGUAUUAAACAUCUGGUGCUUGUUAGUACUUCGAUCAGCACCUGCGAGUUUGGCCAGAAAAGCAACUGAAGUUGAGAGACAAAAUAAGGGUCAGCUGCUUUGGAAUAUGUAUUCUACUUGGGCAGGUUGGACUCAGCAGCCUUCAUGAAAGGUUUUGUGGCAGCACAUCACUUGGACAGAAUGUGAAGAAGAUAAAAGUAGGAUUUUUGGCUACAGGGAUCAUCAAAUAUCAGAGUACUACAAUCUGAGAUUUAUCAGAUUUAUCCAAGCCCUGAAUCCUCUUUACUUUUGCUAAAAUCCUUUCAAAAAGUUACAGUAUUCACGAACAUGAAAAAUGAAGGCAGGCAAAGUACAGAAGCUGUGGUUUCUUAUUAGAGGAGAAGUAGAACAAAAAACAUUCAGAACACUACAGUGGAAGACAUGUCGUGAUUAAUAAAGAGUCAGGCUUCAGUCAUGGGGAGAACUGGCAUCCAGCCCAGUUUAACCUAAAUGUUAGAUUUAUUUUAUUUUUUUUUUAAACUUGAUCCUGGAUUUCAUUCUGUCAUCUUAUAUUCUUUUACAGUCAGUAGCACUAUGCGUAUGCAUAUUUAUUAUAUUUAGACAUAUUUUGCAAGUCACCUUCACAACAACUUCUUUCCUUUUCCUGGAAAAACUGGUUGGUUAUGUAGAGACUGAAUUUGCAAGUCUAAUCUUUGGAGUUUAUUAACCCUUAUUAGUCUGGUUGCUCAAUAGUUAGGUAAGUUCUCAGGCUUAUUUGCAACUUAAUUUCCUUUUAGUUUGAAGUCUGCGCUUCUGUCUAGAUUUUAUGAUUUAGAUUCCUUCACAUAUGAAAAAGACCUGCAUAUUCAGCAUUCUGGAGGAGAAAGAGUAGUUCUGUUGGAAAGAGCAAGAAUUAACUGUCAGUGCUUUUUCCAUUCAGGAAGCCACAGGCAUGAAAAGAGAAACGGGUUUUAUACCUGCAUCUGCAUUCCUUAGGCUCACAGUGAAGCUAGAGCAGGCAGGGCAGACUAAGAUGCAGCUCUGAACCUGAACUGGAAGCACUCUGUCUAUUUGCUUGUGGUAUUUCCAGACCUGUUGAAGACCUAGAAAGCCCAGCCACUGAAAUGCACACGGCUGCAUACUGAGGCAGAGUUUGGUGCACUGGGAGACAAGUUGCUGGAAUAAACACGGCUAUGUUUUUUCCAUCACGCUGUGUUUCAGUUUACGGGGUCACUCAGCCACACACCUUGUCUGUGCAAAGAUACAAAGGUUAAUGUGUGUCUUUGGGGAAUGGCUAAGACUAUAGAUCUACUGUUGAACUUUGUCUUGGAUAAGGUCCUCCAAUGUUUAAAUCAAAUAAAGCUCUGGCUAUAUGUAUUACAGGAUCUGUUAUUGAACUUUAUCUUGGAUAGGGUUCUCCAAUACUUAAAUAAAUGUGUGGUUAGACCUAU